CCUACGGGAGGCAGCAGUGAGGAAUAUUGGUCAAUGGGCGCGAGCCUGAACCAGCCAAGUAGCGUGAAGGAUGACUGCCCUACGGGUUGUAAACUUCUUUUAUAAAGGAAUAAAGUGAGGCACGUGUGCCUUUUUGUAUGUACUUUAUGAAUAAGGAUCGGCUAACUCCGUGCCAGCAGCCGCGGUAAUACGGAGGAUCCGAGCGUUAUCCGGAUUUAUUGGGUUUAAAGGGAGCGUAGAUGGGUUGGUAAGUCAGUUGUGAAAGUUUGCGGCUCAACCGUAAAAGUGCAAUUGAUACUGGCAGCCUUGAGUACAGUUGAGGUAGGCGGAAUUCGUGGUGUAGCGGUGAAAUGCUUAGAUAUCACGAAGAACCCCGAUUGCGAAGGCAGCUUACUAAACUGUGACAGACAUUGAUGCUCGAAAGUGUGGGUAUCAAACAGGAUUAGAUACCCUGGUAGUC
rnacentral:rRNA from 1 species